GCAUAGGACUGUUCCAGAUCCCCUGAAGGAGGAUGUCAGUUUGGAGGUCUGAGCAAUCUAUGGAGCCACCAGUAGUGGAUCAGUAUUUACCCCUAGUACACAUAUGGACUUUGGGAGCCCUCUCCACAUAGAGGGAUACUCUCUCAUCCUAGACACAUGGGGGAGUGAUGGGGGAAAUACUUCUGUGUAUGUUUAUAAAUAAAGUACUUGCUUGGCCAAUGAGACAGCAGGUUAGGCUGGACUAGGAGUCAAAGAGGAUUCUGGGAAAUGUAGUAGAGAAGUGGUGUUCCAGACAGGAAGUGACAUAGCAAGGAGACUCAUAUUUAAGAAGAGGAAAAAGGAAGUGUCGCUCUCUUUUCCCCUUGGCUCCUGCUCCAGCGGCACAAUGUUAUUCACCAGCAAGGAGGGACGCCAAUAAGGCGUCCGAUAAGAUAAGUCCCAUAAAAUAUAUAGAUGUAUGAGAUCUAUGAAGUGCCUAACUCUCACAGCUCUUCCUGGAAACACUUACCUCCUCUAAAUUCCAUCAACUUUGAAAGUCACUGAAUUGAAGACAUGGCUUUUGGAGCUGUAAAAAGGGAGGCCAGAGAAUUCCAGAGUCAAGGAAUCAACCAGGAAUCCCAAGGGAGAGGUCUGGAAUGCCACAGCUUUAGGACAUUUGCAAGCCAAUUGAUUUCAGCUAAAAGACUCCUGUUUCUAAAGGGAAGACAACACUCAAUAUCAAUGCCUGAAAUGCAAGGGUAAGUUACUUGAAUUUCAUCCAUGGGAGAUAAAAAGUCACUGAACAUUUAAUAGCUCUGAUUUAGCAGGGUCAAUGUAUUUCAGGAUUUAAGGUAAACUGAAUAGUGACUUUUACUGGGUCAGGGAUAGUGAAGAGGACUAAAAGCUGGGGACUGUACUAGGGCAUUGUAGAUGACCUCAGAUGAUAUGUUAUUUUGUACAUUUGGAUGGUCAACAACAUACUCAUAUGACUGUAUGUCUGGGUGUUAGCGGUUAAGUUGAGUUUCCACAUCCAGAUUCACUUGUCAGAUGUAUCUUGAAAUGUUACCUUAUUUGGGAAUAGGGUCAUUGAUAAUGUACUUAUUUAAAGGGACACCAUAUUGGAGCAGAGUUAGCCCCUGUUCUCCUGGAAAGAAAAUGGAUGUGGAUUUCCACAGGGUGAUCACCCUGUGAAGAUGAAAAGCAGAGCUGAGAGGAGCCUUACUACCAAUAUAUUACAACCUUGGUUUUCAGCUUUUAAAAUCCUAAAUGUGAAGACAAUAAAGUUCUAUAUUUAAGCCAUCCAGUCUAUGAUUGUCUGCUAUGAUAACCCCAUGAAGCUAACAUACUAAAAUGAAUAAUUAGAAAUCAUUAAUACAAUUAAAGAAGCCAAGAAGGUACAUCUACUGAGGUAAAGAGGAAAGUGGAAACAGGCAAUGCUUCAAGAUUUUGGCAUGUUUGGCUCAUUGAAAGAGAUAUAUAAGAGACAUGGGUGCAAAUUGGAAUUUUCGUGUGAUGGGGUGAGAAACAUGGUCCCCAUUAAUUGAGUUGGAAAGCAGGGCAUUACGUGAAAAGGACAGAGCUCAUUUUCUGCAUGUAACUAAUGAAUCUGUACUUGAAAAGCAUGCUGUCUCCAAAGCCUUAGGUGCAGAGAGGAACCAAUUAGGCAAAUUGAGUGAAAUUCAGAUAAGGAAUUUAUGAGAAUGGAAGAUGGGCUUUGAGAAAAGAUGAAAGGGAAGAAAUGUACUUAGUUAGACUAAGUGAUGAUUAGGUGGAAUUUGACGAUAAGGGGUACACGUUUUAAAGAGGAAGUAUCAAAUAAGCAGCAAAGUGAUACAAAGAAAGAUGCAAGCACUGUGCCAAUUUUAUUUUUAUAAACAGGAAAAUAUAUUAGUAAUACACCCUUGAUAAAACAUUUCUAACAAGCUAACAAAUGCAGAAGUCACAAAAUGAAUAAGUUAGAUUACAAAUGUUUUAAAGUUUGAAACAAUUUUUUUUUUUUUUUUGAGAGAGAGAGCGCCGGGGGGGGGUCUUUCACUCACUCUGGACACCAUGCUGGCCUCAAACUCACAGAGAUCUUCCUGCCUCUGCCUCCCGAGUGCCGGGAUUAAAGGCGUGUGCUACCAACGCCCGGCUUAAAGUUUGAAGCAAAUUUUAAGUAUGCAUUAUAAGCAAAAAGAAAUAAAAAUGAGAAAAAGUGUAUCUACAAACAGUAUAUAGGUAAUUGGUUGCAUUUAUGAAGUAAUCUUAUUAGUAAAAACUUCAGUAUAUUUAAUUCUAAGUUAGGAAAUUUAUAGGAAAUAUUAAUAUGUUAAGUAGGUAAGUAGUUGAAAAGAUGCUUCAAGUGACUAUUUUUCAAAUCAUGUAAAUUCAAACUACAGUUUUCUUGUUUUAAGUCCUGAAAUGUUGGUCAGCACUCAGUACAACUGGCACUCUUGUAUUUUAGUGAGGGG
rnacentral:lncRNA from 1 species